ACGCUGGCGGCGUGCUUAACACAUGCAAGUCGAACGGUGAACACGGAGCUUGCUCUGUGGGAUCAGUGGCGAACGGGUGAGUAACACGUGAGCAACCUGCCCCUGACUCUGGGAUAAGCGCUGGAAACGGCGUCUAAUACUGGAUAUGUGACGUGAUCGCAUGGUCUGCGUCUGGAAAGAAUUUCGGUUGGGGAUGGGCUCGCGGCCUAUCAGCUUGUUGGUGAGGUAAUGGCUCACCAAGGCGUCGACGGGUAGCCGGCCUGAGAGGGUGACCGGCCACACUGGGACUGAGACACGGCCCAGACUCCUACGGGAGGCAGCAGUGGGGAAUAUUGCACAAUGGGCGCAAGCCUGAUGCAGCAACGCCGCGUGAGGGAUGACGGCCUUCGGGUUGUAAACCUCUUUUAGCAGGGAAGAAGCGAAAGUGACGGUACCUGCAGAAAAAGCGCCGGCUAACUACGUGCCAGCAGCCGCGGUAAUACGUAGGGCGCAAGCGUUAUCCGGAAUUAUUGGGCGUAAAGAGCUCGUAGGCGGUUUGUCGCGUCUGCUGUGAAAUCCGGAGGCUCAACCUCCGGCCUGCAGUGGGUACGGGCAGACUAGAGUGCGGUAGGGGAGAUUGGAAUUCCUGGUGUAGCGGUGGAAUGCGCAGAUAUCAGGAGGAACACCGAUGGCGAAGGCAGAUCUCUGGGCCGUAACUGACGCUGAGGAGCGAAAGGGUGGGGAGCAAACAGGCUUAGAUACCCUGGUAGUCCACCCCGUAAACGUUGGGAACUAGUUGUGGGGUCCAUUCCACGGAUUCCGUGACGCAGCUAACGCAUUAAGUUCCCCGCCUGGGGAGUACGGCCGCAAGGCUAAAACUCAAAGGAAUUGACGGGGACCCGCACAAGCGGCGGAGCAUGCGGAUUAAUU
rnacentral:rRNA from 1 species